rnacentral:rRNA from 1 species
UGCGUAGGUGGUCUGAUAAGUCAGAAGUGAAAGGCUACGGCUUAACCGUAGUAAGCUUUUGAAACUGUUGGACUUGAGUGCAGGAGAGGAAAGUGGAAUUCCUAGUGUAGCGGUGAAAUGCGUAGAUAUUAGGAGGAACACCAGUGGCGAAGGCGACUUUCUGGACUGUAAUUGACACUGAGGCACGAAAGCGUGGGGAGCGAACA